rnacentral:rRNA from 1 species
GACGAACGCUGGCGGCGCGCCUAACACAUGCAAGUCGAGCGAGAAAGUCUCCUUCGGGAGAUGAGUAAAGCGGCGAACGGGUGAGUAACACGUGAGCGAUCUACCCGGCGGCGGGGGAUAACUCAGGGAAACCUGAGCUAAUACCGCAUACAGCACUGGCUUGGAAGCCGGAUGUGAAAGUUGGCCUCUCGAAGAAGCUGACACCGUCGGAUGAGCUCGCGGCCUAUCAGCUAGUUGGUGGGGUAACGGCCUACCAAGGCGAUGACGGGUAGCUGGCGUGAGAGCGUGGCCAACCACACUGGGACUGAGACACGGCCCAGACUCCUACGGGAGGCAGCAGUGGGGAAUAUUGCGCAAUGGGCGAAAGCCUGACGCAGCGACGCCGCGUGGGGGAGGAAGGCCCCAGGGUUGUAAACCCCUGUCAGGUGGGACGAACCACGGAUCGGUCAAUACCCGGUCCGCCUGACGGUACCACCAGAGGAAGCUCCGGCUAACUCCGUGCCAGCAGCCGCGGUAAUACGGAGGGAGCGAGCGUUGUUCGGAAUCACUGGGCGUAAAGGGCGCGUAAGCGGUCGGGUAAGUCGGGUGUGAAAUUCCGGGGCUCAACCCCGUGGACUG